CUUUCUCUCCCAGAUGCAAAUGCAAACAGAACCAAGGGGAUGAGGCCCGCCCAGGUGUGGUGGGACCUGAGCUGGAGGCUGCUGGGCCCUGAAGGCCCUGAGACCUUCCCAGCCUGCACCAUUCCCCCGAUGGUGCUCACCCGGGGACUAAACUUCACGACGCUUCGCAGAGCUGCUGCUUGCAGCUGCACCUAAUAGUAACCACAGUACUUUGAAAUAAAUUCUUUUUUUGCUUAAUUGGACUGUUACUUCUGUUGUUUGCAACCAAAGAACCCUAACUGCUGUAGAGCGGGUACUUUGAAUCGUCUGUAGACAACGCCCUCUCCAGGCGAUGUGGAGACCUGGGAGCUGAUUAUCGGGUGCCUUUGGGCCAACAGGCAGUGGCGGUCUCAUUGCUGCUUGGAUGGCAGCUGGCAGCUCAUGGGGUCCUCUGGCACUCGACCUGGACCCACAAGCAUCUAGGUGCCAAGGGCAGAGCACUGGCAGAUGCCGUGGUUGAGAGAGAUAAGGACGUUCGUUCCCCUGUGGACGGGACGGCUGCUCCUGGAUAGUGCAUCACUGAAGGUGAGAAAAAUUAAUGACUUCACAUAUAGAAAUUCUCACUUCACAGCAUGCACUGAACUCAGAGGCUUGGUGUGACUUUGCUGAAAGAAUGUUUUGUGGGCCAUAGGGAACAAGCCUGAGGUCACUUGAAGUGGGACUCGGACAUUGGCUUUGUAGACUUCAGAGUGAUGUCAGGGCACAUGCCCAGCGUGGCAAAGUGCCUUCUGGGAAAGCGAGGGCAUUGUUGUGAAGCUCAGGAUACCCACAACCGGCAGGGAUUCUUGGUGAUUUGUCCCUUUGAAGACUGUGUGGCAGAUGGCAGUCUGCAGAGCCCUCACUGGAAUGCUCUAGAACGUGCGUCUGACUUCAGCACAGCCUGGGGACAUGGCUCAGAAUCAGAGUGGCAAAGAGGAGUCAAGUUACAAGAACUGCAGGGCUCCUGUACGGUCUGACCUCCAGGAGGCUUGCUGUGGUCUGCAUGUGAGUGUCCCCCAGCAGCUCCUGUGAGAUGGAGGGGAAGGGGUGGGUAGGAGGCCCUUAGCCCAAUCAGUGCAUGAAUCCACCUAACUGGAUAGGCAGGUGCCGUGUGGCUGGGGAAGGUGGGGCCCUGGGCCUUGCCUUUGGGAAACGGGUAUCUUGUCGCUGGUGAGUGGGGCACUGCUGCUUCCUUGACAGCAUGCCCUGGCUGCUUUCCUCCUCUAAACCCUUUGCCACGUUCACCUCGCCUCCGGCCCAGAGCAAAGGAGUCGGCCAUGUAUGGACUGAGACCUCGGAAACCGUGAGUCCAAAUCAAAUUUUCUUCCUUUAAAAUUGUUCUUCUCAGGUAUUUUGGUCACAGUGAUAUAAAAAGCAGACCUAAACAGUGCUGGACCAAGAAGAGUUGGGCCUCCUGUUGAUACUCUGAAUCUCGUCAGCUGAAGCUGGUUCAUGUCCCAGAAACCCUGCAUUUACCAAGCAGCCCUGGGACUCCCGGUGGCCGCGGUGCUGGCUAAGGCAAUUCUGCUCACAGCUUUGCAGGGGUGUGAUGCUAAAGGGCCAGAACCUCUGGUCUCAUGCAGAGGAGGGAGAUGGGCGCUGACGGACCCUCACACACAAGUCCCUGACAGUUUCUCCUUCCAUCGAGGCCUCGAGGUGAAAGCUGGAGAAUUCCUCUGAACCGUGUUCCUGGGCAGGCCAGAGGUAAUGACAGUCAGCAUUCAGCCCUGGGCACCUCUGCUACCUGUCACCCAGCCCCGCCCACAGCUCUGCCAGUUCCUCA
rnacentral:lncRNA from 1 species